AACGAACGCUGGCGGCAUGCCUAACACAUGCAAGUCGAGCGAGAACUUCGGGUCUAGUGGCGCCCGGGGGCGUCACGCGUGGGAACCUGCCCUUGUGUUCGGAAUAACUCCCCGACAGGGGUGCUAAUGCCGGAUAAUGUCUUCGGACCAAAGAUUUAUCGCCUUUGGAGGGGCCCGCGUGGGAUUAGCUUGUUGGUAGGCUAAAAGCCUACUAAGGCGACGAUCCAUAGCUGGUUUGUGAGACUGAUCACCCACACCGGGACGAGGAAGCGGCCCAGACUCUUACGGGAGGCAGCAGUGGGGAAUAUUGGACCGCGGCCGAAAUCCUGAUCCAGCACUGCCGCGUGAGUGAUGAAGGUCUUAGGGUUGUAAAGCGCUUUUAACCGGGAUGAUAAUGACAGUACCGGGAGAAUAAGCCCCGGCUAACUCCGUG
rnacentral:rRNA from 1 species